UACGGGGGGAGGCAAGCGUUGUUCGGAUUUACUGGGCGUAAAGGGCGCGUAGGCGGCCUCCGCAAGUCAAUUGUGAAAUCUCCGGGCUUAACUCGGAAAGGUCAACUGAUACUGCGGGGCUAGAGUGCGGAAGGGGCAACUGGAAUUCCAGGUGUAGCGGUGAAAGUGACGUAGAUAUCUGGGAGGAACACCGGUGGCGAAGGCGGCAUCCUGGACCGACAUUGACGCUGAGGCGCGAAAGCCAGGGGAGCAAACAGG
rnacentral:rRNA from 1 species